rnacentral:snoRNA from 1 species
GCUGGUGUAGGUGAUGACAAUUCUUUCCCCGUCAGAGCGACAGUGUUGAUUUCUCACUUUUCAAGCCAGAUCAUGUCUGAUGCACCAGC